rnacentral:lncRNA from 1 species
AUUACCUCACAUGUCUAUUACUCUUAAAUUGCAGAACAAGGGCUAAUCAUUCUUAAUUGGUAAAGGUAGUUUUCUCACUGGGAAUUCCCUUUUAUUAAUGAAAUACUUUAAGGUAAAAAAAUAAUGAUGCAAAAGCAGCACUAGGUAAGAAGGCAAUAUAAAGGCAAAAAAGACGUCAUCUCUGCCUUUGGCAUUGGCCCUUUACUUUGUGACCAACAUCUAUCUCUCAGUGAUAUAAAGAAGUCGACAAGCUCAAUGUAAAGAAACAUUUCCCCAUAGUUAGAACUCCUGUUGCUUCAAAAGGAGAGAGGGCUACAAGAGAUAGUUGACUUACCCUUUAUGGUAGGUCUUCCAGCAAAGAUUUGGUAACCAUGGAUCAAUGAUGUUCUAGUUUCAUAGACCUGAACCAUUUUAUACUGGAGUUUGACAACACUGAUCUAGAUCCUGGUACAAUGAGAAGUAUGAGGAAGGAAAGAUAACUUUUAUCUGGAUCUGAAAGUCAAGAAAUUAUCAAAUUAAUAAACAGAUGAAAUUGGCUGGUUCUAGGACAUGGAUCAGAGGUUGUGGCUGCUAGGCAUACUCCAACUCCUUGAAGCCACAGAGAAGAGAUGGGUGAAAAGUGUACACCAAAGGUGGAUUUUCUUCAGCUAAAUCCCUUAGGGAUUUUCUUGGAAUAAAUACUAGAGUGGCAUGACA